AUGAACGCUAGCUACAGGCUUAACACAUGCAAGUCGAGGGGCAGCAUAUCGAAGCUUGCUUGAUAGAUGGCGACCGGCGCACGGGUGCGUAACACGUAUCCAAUCUACCCAUGGCUCAGGGAUAGCCUUUCGAAAGAAAGAUUAAUACCUGAUGGUCUGUGAUUGAGACAUCUCGAACACAGUAAAGAUUUAUCGGCGAUGGAUGAGGAUGCGUCUGAUUAGAUAGUAGGCGGGGUAACGGCCCACCUAGUCGACGAUCAGUAGGGUUCUGAGAGGAAGGUCCCCCCACAUUGGAACUGAGACACGGUCCAAACUCCUACGGGAGGCAGCAGUGAGGAAUAUUGGUCAAUGGGCGCGAGCCUGAACCAGCCAAGUAGCGUUGCAGGAUGACGGCCCUAUGGGUUGUAAACUGCUUUUAUGCGGGGAUAAAGUGAGGGACGUGUCCCUUAUUGUAGGUACCGCAUGAAUAAGGACCGGCUAAUUCCGUGCCAGCCGCCGC
rnacentral:rRNA from 1 species